rnacentral:sRNA from 1 species
AGCUCGUCGGGGUCGACGGCGCGCGAGGUGAGCAGGUAGUCGCGCAUGACGAUGCCGUGCCUGCCCUC